rnacentral:rRNA from 1 species
AGAGUUUGAUCCUGGCUCAGAAUCAACGCUGGCGGCGUGCCUAACACAUGCAAGUCGCACGAGAAAGUGGAGCAAUCCAUGAGUACAGUGGCGCACGGGUGAGUAACACGUGACUAACCUACCCUCGAGUGGGGAAUAACUUCGGGAAACCGAGGCUAAUACCGCAUAACACUUACGAGUCAAAGCAGCAAUGCGCUUGAGGAGGGGGUCGCGGCAGAUUAGCUAGUUGGUGGGGUAAUGGCCUACCAAGGCGAUGAUCUGUAUCCGGCCUGAGAGGGCGCACGGACACACUGGAACUGAAACACGGUCCAGACUCCUACGGGAGGCAGCAGUGGGGAAUUUUGCGCAAUGGGGGAAACCCUGACGCAGCAACGCCGCGUGGAGGAUGAAAUCCCUUGGGAUGUAAACUCCUUUCGAUCGGGACGAUUAUGACGGUACCGGAAGAAGAAGCCCCGGCUAACUUCGUGCCAGCAGCCGCGGUAAUACGAGGGGGGCGAGCGUUGUUCGGAAUUAUUGGGCGUAAAGGGUGCGUAGGCGGUUUGAUAAGUCUUGUGUGAAAUCUCUGGGCUCAACCCAGAGUCUGCAUAGGAAACUGUCGGGCUUGAGUAUGGGAGAGGUGAGUGGAAUUUCCGGUGUAGCGGUGAAAUGCGUAGAUAUCGGAAGGAACACCUGUGGCGAAAGCGGCUCACUGGACCAUUACUGACGCUGAUGCACGAAAGCUAGGGGAGCAAACAGGAUUAGAUACCCUAGUAGUCC